rnacentral:rRNA from 1 species
UACGAAGGGGGGCUAGCGUUGCUCGGAAUUACUGGGCGUAAAGGGAGCGUAGGCGGAUAGUUUAGUCAGAGGUGAAAGCCCAGGGCUCAACCCUGGAAUUGCCUUUGAUACUGGCUAUCUUGAGUGUGGGAGAGGUUAGCGGAACUCCGAGUGUAGAGGUGAAAUUCGUAGAUAUUCGGAAGAACACCAGUGGCGAAGGCGGCUAACUGGCCCAUUACUGACGCUGAGGCUCGAAAGCGUGGGGAGCAAACAGGG